CCCCAUCCUCCCUCUUCUGAAGCAGCUGUUUCUGGGUUUCUGGGGCCACUUUGUCCCACUCGCUGGCACUGGAUCAGAGACAGGAGGUGGAAGGAGAAAGGCAGGGCUCAGAAGGUAGGGUGCCCUUGGCAGACUCACAUCAUGGAGGCCGGUCACGGAGUAGGCGUGCCCUUUCACUAGCAUCCUCUGGGUCAUGGCCUCCAACUCACUGUCACUGGUGACCUACAGAACAGAGAGGAAAGAAAGGAAUUCAGGAUCCGGUCAGAUGCACCAGGGCACCCGAAGAGAUGUGAGCACUCUUGGGGUCCAGGGUUUUUUUUUUUCAAGUUUAUUUAUUUUGAGAGAGAGA